AUUGAACGCUGGCGGCAGGCCUAACACAUGCAAGUCGAACGAGUGGCGGACGGGUGAGUAAUGUAUGGGGACCUGCCCGAUGGAGGGGGAUAACUACUGGAAACGGUGGCUAAUACCGCAUACUCUCGGAUGUGCCCAUAUGGGAUUAGCUAGUAGUUGGGGUAACGGCUCACCUAGGCGACGAUCCCUAGCUGGUCUGAGAGGAUGACCAGCCACACUGGAACUGAUACACGGUCCAGACUCCUACGUGAGGCAGCAGUGGGGAAUAUUGCACAAUGGGCGCAAGCCUGAUGCAGCCAUGCCGCGUGUAUGAAGAAGGCCGUCGGGUUGUAAAGUACUUUCAGCGAGGAGGCGUUACUCGCAGAAGAAGCACCGGCUAACUCCGUGCCAGCAGCCGCGGUAAGAC
rnacentral:rRNA from 1 species